rnacentral:misc_RNA from 1 species
AUGGUGAAGUCCUUGGCUGGGCUGAGAAGGGUCGUGUGCGGUGUGUCAGGAGGAGUUGACAGCGCCGUGUCGGCGUAUAUACUCAAACAGAAAGGUUAUGAAGUAGUUGGAGUUUUUAUGAAGAAUUGGGAUGAGAAAGAUGAGGUUGGCCAGUGUUUGUCGGACCGUGACAUGGAGGAUGCUAAAUUUGUUUGUCAACACAUUGGAAUUCCAUUUCAGGAAGUGAAUUUUGUCAAAGAUUACUGGAACGAAGUCUUCAGGAGUAUCAGAAUGGCAACGUUCCAAAUCCAGACAUUGUAUGCAACAGACACAUCAAGUUUAAUGUGUUUCAAAAAUACGCCAUGAAGCAGUUUUCAGCUGAUGCCAUGGCAACUGGACACUACGCUCGAACUUCUGUUGGGGAGAACCUAUUAUUGGGAGAUUCUAGCCAGGGUGUAAGGUUAUUGAGAGCCAAAGACAUUUGGAAAGACCAGACAUUUUUCUUGUCGCAGAUAUCCCAGCAGGCUUUGCGUAAAGUGUUGUUCCCUUUGGGAGAGCUUAAGAAAUCUGAGGUCAAACAGAUUGCCUCGGAGAUAGGACUCCAAAGAAUAGCCAAGAAAAAAGAGAGCAUGGGAAUCUGCUUCGUUGGUAAACGUGACUUCCCUUCAUUCAUUGGACAGUAUCUAGAGCCAAAACCAGGCAACAUCAUCCAUGUAGAGACGGGAGAGGUAGUGGGCACCCAUCAAGGCAUUCAUCACUACACCCUGGGACAAAAGCUUAUUCAUGUAAAUCAUGGUCGAUUUGGAAAAUGUUAUAUAGUGGAUAAAAAUAACAUUACUCAGGACAUCAUAAUAGCCCCAGGAACAAACCAUCCAUCAUUAUUUAAUCAGGAAUUUUUUGCAAAAGUCCCGGCAUGGAUUUACAAGGAGCCGCCUGGAUUCAGUGAAGGGAGAGUGUGUCGUCUACAGUGUAGGAUACAACGGAUAGAAGCAUCGAUUCCCUGCACUGUUUCUAGGUGUGGUGAGGACCAAGUGAGAGUGACACUAGAGGAACCCCUCCGAGCCAUCACCCCGGGUCAGUAUGGGGUGUUCUAUGAUGGAGAGGAGUGUCUGGGGAGUGGGGUCAUCACUAGAAGGGGCCCCUCCCUGUAUGAAUUACAGCAGGAGAAGAGGACAAUACAACAAUGAGGGGCCCCUCUCCUUAUGUAGUCCAUCAGGACAAGAGGACAAUACAACAGUGAGGACUGUACUGACCAGGCCCAUACAUAAAAUUUGUGAAAGUCUGAUUUAUAAGCUUUCUGCUGUGAUAUUAAAACAAUAUUCCAGUACAAUUACAUUUUGGAUCCUGACUGAGGAAUUACCGGUAAUAGGUGUGUAUCUUAAUACACAGAUUGAGAUGUACAUGAAUAUACUCACUGGUACUUUAAAGAAUGGGCACAAUGUUGUCAGACGUUGGUAGUGGGGAAGACCUAGCUGUGAAAACUGUUGAAUAUUGAAAGAGUAUACUGGUUUAUAUAUUUUUAAAUAUCAAUAAAAUAUUGAAUAGUGGGU